AUUGUUGAUGACGAAGACGUGAUCUCGUACAUCAUCGCCGGCCUUGACGAAGAGUAUGAUCUAGUGGUGUCGUCCAUAGUGGGACGCGCUGAUCUUGUUACCAUCGGCGAAGCCUACUCACAACUGCUUAGUUUUGAGC
rfam:Leersia perrieri chromosome 8, whole genome shotgun sequence.